rnacentral:lncRNA from 1 species
UUCCAUUCGAAAUUCGAAAUUGCCAAUUAUUUGGGGCUUCAGGAGAAUAACACAAAACCGGGAGACUAUAAAAGAAAAUUACGAAAAUUUUGUGUCAACUGUCAGCACUCUUUCUGCAGCAAGCAUUUUCAGAAAGCUAAAACCUAGAAAACUACAGCAAUGGAAGAAGAACACGGAAAAACACAUCUGUCGCCGGAAUAUGCCGUCAUCGAAGAGUGGAGCGGAACGGCGUCUUCGGAGCUCACAAAAACUGCUACAAUCACAAUCACUCGAGAUUCUGUUCAAAAAUCAGCUACCCGAUUCAAUUAUUUUUCUCGGCGAUUUCUCGACGCUUUUGUUCCAGAGGCAAAUUUUCUCUAUUUUCUCAAUUAAUUAAUUUAAAUUUCGGUUCAAUGUACAAUGAAGGAGGGAGGAGUGCCAAUGUUGUUUGUUUGUGCUGUGCAUGUGGAGUACCUUGUGCUUCAAAAGAUUGUACCUUGACCAGAUAAUUGCUUCUCAAUUUGGAAUAAAAAAUUCAGGUCGAGGUACAAUGAAGGAAAUGUCAGUUACCAAUGGUUGUUUGUGCUUCGCACUGAUAGUACCUUAUGCUUAAAAGAUUGUACCUUGACCUGAGAAUUGCUUUUCCCAGUAAACAAUUCGAUCACGCCUUUGUUUGGCGAUAAUAAACUGGGAUAGGUACAAGGAUAUUUGCACAUUGUACAACAUUAUAGAUGUACUACUUCUUGCGUCAAAGCUAGAACCUUGCCUGAUCAUUUCGUGCUUGUGCCUGCGAUAUUAUACUCGUACUACAAUAAAAAUGAUAAUCC